rnacentral:rRNA from 1 species
AGUGAACGCUGGCGGUAGGCCUAACACAUGCAAGUCGAACGGCAGCACAGUAAGAGCUUGCUCUUACGGGUGGCGAGUGGCGGACGGGUGAGGAAUACAUCGGAAUCUACUUUUUCGUGGGGGAUAACGUAGGGAAACUUACGCUAAUACCGCAUACGACCUACGGGUGAAAGCAGGGGAUCUUCGGACCUUGCGCGAUUGAAUGAGCCGAUGUCGGAUUAGCUAGUUGGCGGGGUAAAGGCCCACCAAGGCGACGAUCCGUAGCUGGUCUGAGAGGAUGAUCAGCCACACUGGAACUGAGACACGGUCCAGACUACUACGGGAGGCAGCAGUGGGGAAUAUUGGACAAUGGGCGCAAGCCUGAUCCAGCCAUACCGCGUGGGUGAAGAAGGCCUUCGGGUUGUAAAGCCCUUUUGUUGGGAAAGAAAAGCAGCAGGUUAAUACCACGCUGUUCUGACGGUACCCAAAGAAUAAGCACCGGCUAACUUCGUG